UACACCUCUGUAAUCAGCACGUAGAAUAUGAAACAGAACACUACUAGCACUCCCAAAGCUUCUUUUGGGCUCUCUUUUAUUCAUCAGCACAUCAAGGGUAACCAUUAUAGAGUUGUGCUUCUGUUUGAACUUGACUUUGUUUAUCCUUAUUACAGUGCAGAAACUGCAAGAUGAACCCCAAAGAUCUCCAUCUCCAGCCAUUCACACUCCUAUAUAAUCUCUGGCCCUUGGGUGUGGAAAGGACUUGUGACUUGCUUUAACCAACAACAGAAUACAGCAAAGAUGCCUAAGAACUGCAAUUGAGAAAUAAUUUUCUCACCUGGUCACAGCAUCUACCAAGAAUGGUGCUGGGGGAGAGAUCAGUGAGAUUCCAUCUUUAUUACCAUGUCCCUCCUUCCCUGCCAAAAGCAUUUCACAUCCCGCAAGUCCAUUAGACACGGCACCGCUCUGCUGUGGGAGAUACACACACAUCUAAAUACAGAGGUAACAAUACCGGCCUGGUCAGCACUUCAGCUCCAAAUCAAGCUUCACUAAUGAAUAUGAGAGAAUAAAAGAAGAAUGCCAGUUUUUAUCUCUUCUAUUCAACACUGUAUUGCAAGUUCUAGCCAAAGCAAUCAGAGAAAGCAGAGAGACUAAGUUGCAGAGAGGAGGAGGGAUGAAGAAAGAAGAAUCUUGACAACUAGAAUCAUGGCAUCUCAAAGUUGGAAGGAACAACAGUCCAUCCAACCACCGAAAUAUUUCAAGAGGUGGGUAAUUUUUAGUCUUAGCCUAAGAAACAUCACACACUGGAG